rnacentral:rRNA from 1 species
UGAGGAAUAUUGGUCAAUGGGCGAGAGCCUGAACCAGCCAAGUAGCGUGAGGGAUGACUGCCCUAUGGGUUGUAAACCUCUUUUGAUUGGGAACAAAGAGCGCCACGUGUGGUGCGUUGCGUGUACCUUUCGAAUAAGCAUCGGCUAAUUCCGUGCCAGCAGCCGCGGUAAUACGGAAGAUGCGAGCGUUAUCCGGAUUUAUUGGGUUUAAAGGGAGCGUAGGCGGGCUGUUAAGUCAGCGGUCAAAUGUCAGGGCCCAACCUUGGCAUGCCGUUGAUACUGGCGGCCUUGGUACGU